rnacentral:rRNA from 1 species
AGUGUUAUCCGGAAUCACUGGGCGUAAAGCGUCUGUAGGUUGUUUAAUAAGUCAACUGUUAAAUCUUGAGGCUCAACCUCAAAAUCGCAGUCGAAACUAUUAGACUAGAGUAUAGUAGGGGUAAAGGGAAUUUCCAGUGGAGCGGUGAAAUGCGUAGAGAUUGGAAAGAACACCGAUGGCGAAGGCACUUUACUGGGCUAUUACUAACACUCAGAGACGAAAGCUAGGGUAGCAAAUGAGAUUAGAUACCCCAGUAGUCCUAGCUGUAAACAAUGGAUACUAGAUGUUGAACAGAUCGACCUGUGCAGUAUCAAAGCUAACGCGUUAAGUAUCCCGCCUGGGAAGUAUGCUCGCAGGAGUGAAACUCAAAGGAAUUGACGGGGGCCCGCACAAGCGGUGGAGCAUGUGGUUUAAUUCGAUGCAACGCGAAGAACCUUACCAGGGUUUGACAUGAUACGAAUUUCUUUGAAAGAAGAAAGUGCCGUUUGGAACGUAUACACAGGUGGUGCAUGGCUGUCGUCAGUUCGUGUCGUGAGAUGUUGGGUUAAGUCCCGCAACGAGCGCAACCCUUAUUUUUAGUUGCCUUUUAUGGAACUCUAAAAAGACUGCUGGUUAUAAACCGGAGGAAGGCGGGGAUGACGUCAAGUCAGCAUGCCCCUUACACCCUGGGCUACACACGUGCUACAUUGGGCGAGACAAUGAGAUGC